GUUAACCGAAUAGGGGAGCCGAAGGGAAACCGAGUCUUAACUGGGCGUUAAGUUGCAGGGUAUAGACCCGAAACCCGGUGAUCUAGCCAUGGGCAGGUUGAAGGUUGGGUAACACUAACUGGAGGACCGAACCGACUAAUGUUGAAAAAUUAGCGGAUGACUUGUGGCUGGGGGUGAAAGGCCAAUCAAACCGGGAGAUAGCUGGUUCUCCCCGAAAGCUAUUUAGGUAGCGCCUCGUGAAUUCAUCUCCGGGGGUAGAGCACUGUUUCGGCAAGGGGGUCAUCCCGACUUACCAACCCGAUGCAAACUGCGAAUACCGGAGAAUGUUAUCACGGGAGACACACGGCGGGUGCUAACGUCCGUCGUGAAGAGGGAAACAACCCAGACCGCCAGCUAAGGUCCCAAAGUCAUGGUUAAGUGGGAAACGAUGUGGGAAGGCCCAGACAGCCAGGAUGUUGGCUUAGAAGCAGCCAUCAUUUAAAGAAAGCGUAAUAGCUCACUGGUCGAGUCGGCCUGCGCGGAAGAUGUAACGGGGCUAAACCAUGCACCGAAGCUGCGGCAGCGACGCUUAUGCGUUGUUGGGUAGGGGAGCGUUCUGUAAGCCUGUGAAGGUGUGCUGUGAGGCAUGCUGGAGGUAUCAGAAGUGCGAAUGCUGACAUAAGUAACGAUAAAGCGGGUGAAAAGCCCGCUCGCCGGAAGACCAAGGGUUCCUGUCCAACGUUAAUCGGGGCAGGGUGAGUCGACCCCUAAGGCGAGGCCGAAAGGCGUAGUCGAUGGGAAACAGGUUAAUAUUCCUGUACUUGGUGUUACUGCGAAGGGGGGACGGAGAAGGCUAUGUUGGCCGGGCGACGGUUGUCCCGGUUUAAGCGUGUAGGCUGGUUUUCCAGGCAAAUCCGGAAAAUCAAGGCUGAGGCGUGAUGACGAGGCACUACGGUGCUGAAGCAACAAAUGCCCUGCUUCCAGGAAAAGCCUCUAAGCAUCAGGUAACAUCAAAUCGUACCCCAAACCGACACAGGUGGUCAGGUAGAGAAUACCAAGGCGCUUGAGAGAACUCGGGUGAAGGAACUAGGCAAAAUGGUGCCGUAACUUCGGGAGAAGGCACGCUGAUAUGUAGGUGAGGUCCCUCGCGGAUGGAGCUGAAAUCAGUCGAAGAUACCAGCUGGCUGCAACUGUUUAUUAAAAACACAGCACUGUGCAAACACGAAAGUGGACGUAUACGGUGUGACGCCUGCCCGGUGCCGGAAGGUUAAUUGAUGGGGUUAGCGGUAACGCGAAGCUCUUGAUCGAAGCCCCGGUAAACGGCGGCCGUAACUAUAACGGUCCUAAGGUAGCGAAAUUCCUUGUCGGGUAAGUUCCGACCUGCACGAAUGGCGUAAUGAUGGCCAGGCUGUCUCCACCCGAGACUCAGUGAAAUUGAACUCGCUGUGAAGAUGCAGUGUACCCGCGGCAAGACGGAAAGACCCCGUGAACCUUUACUAUAGCUUGACACUGAACAUUGAGCCUUGAUGUGUAGGAUAGGUGGGAGGCUUUGAAGUGUGGACGCCAGUCUGCAUGGAGCCGGCCUUGAAAUACCACCCUUUAAUGUUUGAUGUUCUAACGUUGGCCCCUGAUCGGGGUUGCGGACAGUGUCUGGUGGGUAGUUUGACUGGGGCGGUCUCCUCCUAAAGAGUAACGGAGGAGCACGAAGGUUGGCUAAUCCUGGUCGGACAUCAGGAGGUUAGUGCAAUGGCAUAAGCCAGCUUGACUGCGAGCGUGACGGCGCGAGCAGGUGCGAAAGCAGGUCAUAGUGAUCCGGUGGUUCUGAAUGGAAGGGCCAUCGCUCAACGGAUAAAAGGUACUCCGGGGAUAACAGGCUGAUACCGCCCAAGAGUUCAUAUCGACGGCGGUGUUUGGCACCUCGAUGUCGGCUCAUCACAUCCUGGGGCUGAAGUAGGUCCCAAGGGUAUGGCUGU
rnacentral:rRNA from 1 species